GCUGGUAUGGCUCAGUCGGCAGAGCGGAUCACUCGUAAUGAUCAGGUCGCCGGUUCGAUUCCGGCUACCAGCUCCA
rnacentral:tRNA from 1 species